UUUAUGACCAUAGGAUUGAUUAGUUAGCCUCAAAUCUUUGUUUUUAAGAUUUAUUGAUUUAUACUCAUCCAUUAGCUCAUUAAACGCAUCAUACAAUUCUUCAAAAGUAAAAUUUAAAUGAGUUUCAGAUGUUACCUCAUUUUUAUUUGCCAUAAAGCAAAGAUUUGCUUUUUUCUCUUGUUCCUCAUCCGAUGAUGAUGAUGAUUGAUUGGAGUCUGUCAAAGUGGAGACAAGAGCUUUCUUCUUCUU
rnacentral:lncRNA from 1 species